GAAGGAAGGAAGGAAGGGGAAGGAGAAGAGGCGGCCGCCGGAAAAUGGGGCACCCGCAGCAGCACGGCGCGCUGCUCCCGAAGCGCAUCAUCCUCGUCCACCACGGCGAGUCGGAGGGGAACCUCUCGCCAUCGGGGCAAGCCACCACCCCGGACCACAAGAUCCCCCUCACCCCGCUCGGGGUCGCGCAGGCCCGCGCCGCCGGGGACCGGCUCCGCACCCUGGUCGCCGGCGGCGGGGGGGAGUGGCGGGUCUACUUCUACGCGUCGCCGUACAAGCAGACGCAGUCGAUGCUGCGGGAGAUCGGGCGGUCGUUCAGGCGGGGCCGGGUGAUUGGGGCGCGGGAGGAGUGCCGGAUCAGGGAACAGGACUUCUGGAACUCCCAGGUGGUGGAGAGGAUGAAGGUGGUGAAGGAGGCCAGGGAGCGGUUCGGCCGGUUCUUCUACCGGUUCCCGGAAGGGGAAUAGGCGACCGACGUGUUCGAUCGCGUUUCGAGUGAGUUUUUUUUCUUCAUCCUUACGUUUUCGAUCAAUGCAAUUUCAUGUGAACGCUGCGUGUUGAGUCGGUCAUCGAUGUCGGCUUUGCUUCGUUGCUGGUCUGAGAGUGUUCACACGAGAGAAAUGAACCAAGGAAUGAACUUUUGUAUGGACGGCGCACCGGUGUCUUUAACAACAAUUGAAAUCCUAAAGUAGAGCCCUAAGGGCUUAUUCAAUUUUUGAACACAAUUUUAAAGAAAGUAUUGAAUAAAUUGCAUAGUAUAUCAAUACUGCGCAAUCAAUGGGGAUUAUCUUUAAGGACAAUUGAAAUGCCCUGAGGGCUUGUUCAAUUUUUUAACAUAAUUUUAAAGUCAAGAGGCUUUCUUUUUUUAAAAAGAAACUAAAGAUCUAUUUUUGAAAAUUUUCAAGGAAUUACAUUUUUUUAUUUUAAAAUUUUUAUUUUUUGGAAUUUUCUAAAUUUUAUGAAAUUUUUAUUUUUUAGUAUUUCUUAUUUUUUCUGUGAUUUUUUUAAUUAAUAUUUUGUAUGAAGUUUACUAUUAUAAUAAAUAAAUAAAAAGAGAGAGAGAAAGAAAAUCGGACCGGGUCAAGAGACCCGCCCCGACUCAACCGACCUGGACCCUAUCGGUCCUGGUUGGACUAAAAAAGGGGCUAUGCUUAGGCCCACUUUGAAUUAAUCUCAAUUGACUCACGGAAAUUUUAAAACAGCCCACUCAAUUUCCAGCCCGCUUCCAUUUUCUCUCUCAGCCCAAGUGGGGGUUUCUUUCGAGUAACAACACCUACCCAGAGACUUCAACAUCCAAUAUCAAUUUCAGAAUAAAAUAAAUUUAACAAUAGCACCACUGUGAUCUCAUCUUUUAAACCAAGAAUAACAUAAUUCGUCAUCAAGCACCUUUUAAACAUCGAAGCUCCACGAAUGGACGAGUACCAUUACCAUCGCCGUCCGGCGAACGGUGGAAGUAGCUGGCUGGGUGAUACGAAAGGCGGGGACGUUCGUGAGCGUCCCAGAGCGUGGGUCUCGAAAGAAAAGAGUGACCGUCGAGUCCCCCUCAUGCUCAUUGAGGCUCGCUCGAAUGACGAAGCUGCAGCUGGGUACAUAAAAUGGCAAGGAGUCAGUGUUAUAUCUCUUCUCUCUUCCCGAGCCUCUUUACUAUAAUCAUCCUUUCCUUUCUAAUCUAAACGUUGCUCAUGUCCCAUUCCGUCGAAAGCAUUGUCGAAGCUUCUGUGGACGAGGGCACUGUUGUGGACGAAGGUACUGGCGUGGACGAGUGAUCAUUCAUGGCCGACGACCACCAUCUAGCUCUAGCGGCUGGCGAUCGCAGUCCAGGUCUGGCCCAAACCCUAAGCACAACGAUUAGGGUUUUCUAUUUCACCAAUUAGGGUUCUAAAUUGGGGAAAACAUGUUUCGCGACGUCGUUUAGGCUAUGUAUGCGGAGUUAGAGCGUUGGCGAGCCAAGUCAGAUUGAAAAAAUGAUAAAAGAUUACUAUUUUGAAUUUUCAACUAUUCAAAUUGAAGUUAACACUUGAAGUGAUCUAAAUAAAAGUUUUUGCAUCAAAAUUAGCACUAUGCAGAAGUUACGACACUUAUAAUUAAUAUUUUCCUCAAGCCUCAUUGCCGGAGGUCCAAUUUCGAGACCUUCAAAAUAUGCCGUUCUCACUAUAAUCCUAGUUUGUGGUCGAAUAAAUUAGUUUGGAGUAAAUUUGUCAUAAAUGUACAAGUUUAUGAUUUUUUUAUAGUUAGUCGAGGUGGGGUCUUAUCAUCCAUGACGAGAAAAAUUAAAUGCAUGAUAGUCCUUUUCAUUGAAUAUUCAGUGAUUGGUGAACUGUUUAGCCGGUUUUGGUCUUAGUAGGUGGCCAUGCCUUAUAUAUAUAUUAAUACCUUAAAAAACCCCAAACUGGUAUACUUAUGACAAAUUUACUCUAAACUAUUUUUUUGACCAUCAAAAACCCCAAACUGGUAUACCUUUGACAAAUUUACCAUAAACUGGUACACUUGUGAUAAAUUUAUCCUAUGUUAGUUUUAGUUAAAUUUUAUUGUUAAAUUAUAAAGUUAAAUAAAACGUGACAAUUGACCGAUAUAUCAAUUUGGGAUUUUACACUAUUUGUCACAGUUUUUUGAUUUUUUUGUGGUAUUAAUCUAAUUUUUCAGAGGGUAUAUUAGUCACAAAUUUACCAGUUUGGGAUUUUUUGUGAUCGAAUAAAUUAGUUUGGAGUAAAUUUGUCAUAAAUGUACUUGUUUAUGGUUUUUUUAUAGUUAAUCGAGGUAAAUUUUUCAUAGAUGUAUCAGUUUGGGGUUUUUCAUGGUCAAAAAAAUAAUUUGGGGUAAAUUUGUCACAAAUGUACCAGUUUGGGGUUUUUUAAGGUAUUAACCCAUAAAUAUAUAUAUAUAUAUAUAUAUAUAUAUAUAUAUAUAUUUACCAAUAUAUCUUGUAUAUUGGGAGUAACGAACUAAAAUUUGGAUUUUGCUGGUAGUUAUUUGACUUCACUAGUGUUUUACAAAUGAAGCUACUGCGAAUAAAUGAAACCACGCGUUCAAAGUCAUCAAUGAUUUACUUGUAUCAGCAAGACAUCGUUUCGUUGCACGUAUAGAUAAACAAUUUAUUUUUAUUUUUAUUGUACGAAAGCUAACACAUAGUUUUUCGCAAUAAAACACCGUUUGAACGGUUAAAGACAAAAUCAAUUUUUUUCAAUAAUAAAAACCCGUAUGAUAUAUUAUCUUGAAAGCAAUAUACAUACAUACGUAUUAUAUUUCUUUUACAAGACUAAUAAGAAUAAGCUGUAUUUUCUUCUUCUUCGCAACAAAAAUUAAUCACGAUUCCUUAAGACUAUCUUCAAAAUUAGUCCACAUGAAAAAUUGUCUUAAAGGUGGAGCCAUUAUGAAAAAGAGAUAAGUAAUAUGUUCUAACUAUCGAAGCACAUGAAUUCAUCUGAGUUUUAGUAUGCCUUGUGCUAAACUUCGCAGGAUUAUGUUGCUUCAUUGAAUUUUCUCCUUUUCAUACGUCCUUCAAUGAUAUAAAAAUGAUGAAUAAUGUGUUGUGUAUCCAUAGCACCUUUUCAUAUUUAAAUAGUACUAUUCUCGUUUAAGUGGUAAAUGAUUUUUUGCCAUAUUAUAAUCCCUGUUCAAGAAAUAAUUAAUUUGAAUUGACUAUAUUCGAUUAGUGGAGAGUGCAAGAAAAUUACUUCUUGGAAGGAGGGAUGACCGGUCUCUGGCCCUACGUGGGAGGCAAAUUUUAGAGAAUACAUAGUAAUUAUAUAUUUCUAGAUAUUGCAGUAGUGAUUAUUAGAGUUUGCCAAUAUCUACAAUAUCAACCUUGCAAACACUUGACAAACUUACUUAUUAAAUUGCUUACUACUGACUAGUUGAUCUAUAACCAAGUUACUAAUUUGUUUUGAAAGAAUUGCAAACUUAUAUUCGAAUUUACUAUUGAUUACUCAACCGCUACACCGUCACUAGAUGUUUCAUUUUUAUUGGAGGACCAAUACCAAUGAUGUCAACCAGAUGUUGCCGUGGACGAUGAUAAGACGACUCCCGACGGUGGAAUUUCUUUACCUUGAUCAGUAACCUGCUUAUCUCCCCUCAAUAUUCAAUCUUUUUCAGGAAACAAACGACAAUCUUGAGGAUGCAAGCAAUGGGCUAAUUCUUACUGAUGAGGAGGUGGUGCGCUUCCAGAUAAAGGAAGUUUUCGCUCACGUGCCAAAGGAUGAAUUGUAGAGCCGAAUCGAAGAUAUGAAAGAAGUAACUAUGAAAAACUUGGAGAAACUGGAAGAGGAGAAAGAAUCUGUGCUUACACAUGGCUGAGAUGAAGAAAAUUUGUAUGGGAAGUGCGGGGACUCCAUCAAUUUGGAAGAGGAUUAACAUAGCUGUCACUGCUGGUUUUCCUUUAGUUUCUGUUGAUUAAAUCAUUUCUCAUAUGCUUUGCUGCCUUCAGGCAACUUUAGAAUGCCUGCUGCAAGAGCUACGCAAUAGCCUAGUUUGUGAUCUGCCCACUGCCAUUAUAGUGACUUAUAAUGUUCUUAGAACUUAUUUUGUUGCCAUUAGUUUUGGUCCAUUUCUGAUUAAAAUCGCUUGAAUUUGUCAUCCAACCUUCAGUCUUAAGCUACUUAUAAGACUACUUUCUCUACUCCUGGGUUUACUCUUUCGCGCGAAUGUUAUUCCCCCUAAAUUUCUUUUCCAAACUCUUACUUGGACAUUGAUGUAGAAUCACAAUGUGUGACAUAGGAGUUUCAAACUCAAUGCGAAAUUAAAUUGGUAUGUAGUUUUUACAUACUAUAUUUCCUUUAGGGAAACAAAUCAGCAAGGUGUGAAGUGAGAAGAGAGUUAAGUCAUGACUCGUCAAUGGUCCACGAGAGAAGAGUCAUUGUAAGAUUCAUUUGGGACGUGCUCUAUCAUGGUUUAAAUCUGCCAAUUUCUGGCAAGAUAGUCUCCAACUAACUAAGAGCGAAAAGUGUUGUUUACAAUUGAAGCAUUUUGAUAUUGUGCAAUGUUGAAGAUCUUAAUGGCUAGAACUUUAGCAAUUGCCUUCACGAGCCGCACACUUUUCACAAGUAGAAGUCAGAAAGGAACUAUUAAUGGUCAGAGGAUGAAUGCGCACCCGUAAGACAGUUUAAACAUCCGACAGAAAGAAAUGCAAGCAUGGUAUUCUAACAUUCAAAACUAUCAUAAUUAAACCAUAACAAGUAUUGAGAUAUCUAUUUUUUUUUUUUUGGUAACUCAGAUCCGCCGGGCCUAACUCGCUUAUGCUCGCCAACCCACGGCCCGUAGAGUGCACGGUGCAUCCUAGACUAAGCGUCAAUACCUAGGGGGAAGCUCGCACAGGACCCUACCACAAUGGCCCUCCACUUAAGACGUGUUAACAACUACGAGUUUUGACCCUAGGACCUCUGUAAUAAAGUGUCCAAAGUCGAACCAACUUAGCUGCCCACCAAUGGGUUUGAGAUAUCUAUUCAUAGGCAUAAAUUUCCAAAUGUUUAGGUAUUGAGAGAAAUGGGGAUUAAUAUCUACAGUAUUUUAGGUUAAAAGCAAAAGAAUGAUUGACCUAAAUGUGUAACUUAACACAUGGCCUAACCCUCUCCAAAUGUCCAAUCUGUCCAUCAUACUGGCCUGAACUUUUGGCAAUACAAGCUGGUCCUGAAUUGGUGGCCAAGAGAUGUUAUAUAUGGGUAUUAGCUGAAGCCAUGAAAAUGGCAAAUAUGAUCAUCAAGACAGGCAUCGUUCCCAGUUUGCAAGAUAUGAAUGUCUAACUAGGAAGAGAAUGAGAGAAAGAUACACAAUCUUAGCAUAAUCGAAACAAUUAACAGUUAUGGUUAAACUAAAUGACCCGAUUUAGGUCAUCUACUCUUGCCAUCGGGGGCAAAUUAUCCUAAAAUUCGAGUAAACAUUAAACCAAAACACACAGUUGUUUCGCAAGAAAACCCAACUGAAGCAAUCUAAUAAAAUGUAAACCAAAGUUUCCGUCUCAAGGGUUCUCAGUCCCUUGAGUGCUUCAAGCAUCCAGCACUGCUGCCGAUGCCAUUCUCCUGCCCUACAAUUCUUCCAACAUGUCCAGGAGCUAUGGCGCCUCUAGUGCCUCUCCCCCGGGCGGGUCCUCCUCCUCCACCACUACCCAGGCAGGACAUACAUGGCAUCUGGUAUUGUACAGAAGACAAAAAAUACAAUGCAUCUUCCCUCUGGUGUCAUUUGCAGAAUAAAAGUCUAGGGCAAAACAUAAAAUCAGUAUUUUUCCUAUUCCAAAAAGACACAGCAAAAGCAAUAGAGAAUACCUCGUGGAAGUUGCGGGUUAGCCCUUCCCUCAAAUAUCGUCCAGCAAAGGAGGCAAUGAUGCGAUCAGUGAUGUGGUCAAUGAAUGCAUUGAACUCAUCCACAUGGGGCGGAAUUCACCCAAGCCGUUCAAGAAGGCAGCAAUGGCGCCUAGGGUCCCAAGACGAACCCCAUCAAAAUCCAUGGAUGCUUCGUCAUAAUGGAUUAUGACCUCUUGCCUAUUGUAUCUAAAAGGAUGAUAGUAUGAUUGACACGAACUCGUUGAGAACAUCAGCCAUCAUGCGAGAGUGAGAGAUAAACAACAGGCCUAGUUUCGCGAGAAUGGUUGGCGAUUUAGGAUAAGAGAGAUCACAAAUCAUGAUGCCAACAGCUUACCUGAAUUGCUUGGCCCACACUUGAGUGAUCGAAUCGGUCGGAAUAGACAAUGGGUCCCUAGCACCUCCUCCUCGAUACGACUCGAUGUCCACAUCAACUCGCUUCAACCAAACUUUCAAGAGCAUCAUAUCACACUCCAUCAAGACAUACUACCAUCACAUCUCCGUAGUCUCCAGCAAUCUCAACACACGUGAAGUUUGUGCCAUACACCAAUCAAGCAAGUAACAACAUAAUAGAAACACUAGCUUUCCUCUAUACAGCAAUCGAACAACCGAAAGCGGAAACAAAAUUCGCAUCGACAUAGCCAACAAAAACAAUAAGUGCAAACAACAUAGGCAUAAAAAAUAAAUAAUAAAUAAAAAAAUUCAACACACACGAGAGUCUAAAGGUGAACUUCGAUUUGAUCAGGUUUUGGCUUAUGGCAAAGAAUUUGCAGAGACUCGAUGAACUAAGAGAGUGGGGCAGAUGGAAAGUGCGCACAAUUUGUUUAGGAGGUGGUUUUCAGGUGCGGCCGAGUGCACCGAGUGGCACCUUUUGAUUGGUCGCGCAUGAGACCAGAUGUCUGGGGAGGUCCCAUUUCUCGACGUGUCACGGCGAGGGCAUCGGGAGCGGGUUGAUUUCGGUGGCCCCAAGCAUAGCAAAGCAAGCCCGAAGUGACCGUUGACAUUAUGCGAUUUAUCCAUGCAAAGCAUUUGUGCUCGAACCAUUGCAUGAUGACUAAUUUUAAAAGAGCCUAUGUUAAAGUUUGAUCGUCCAGACAAUUUUUAUUGAGGAGGUUGAGAUCUAUGAUAGAUAUAGAAAUUGAAAUAUCCUAUGCGAUGUUUGGUAACGUCUGAAAAAACCAUGAAUUCAAGUAAAAUUAUAUGAUUUCCAAAUCAGAGUUUGAAAUAUGUGGGCAGAGUCUCACUUGACUCGACUCAUCUCUUGCACUAUCUCUUUCUCUCUCUCAUGUCGAUGGUGGAGAUUAAGCACAGACAAUAUGUCGCAACCUACUUUUUCCUCAAGAAGUGGAAAAGACAUAGGUUUAGGGAUAUUACUUAAAGGACAGGGCCCACAGCCCAUGAGUUAGACGCAGGUUCUCCUAAACCCAUAUCUUGGGUGAUGUAUGUUCAAAUUGACGAUAUGAAAAUUGUCUAAAGAGAAAUCACCACUAACUUAUUAAGAUCAGCUAGAAACCAAGUGAAAUAUGAGAGUGUAUUUCACUUUCUACAUAACAGAGAAUUUAGGAUUGGGGACUUGAUUAUACUAAUUAAAUAAUUAGUGUUAUUUCGGUACUUAAUCUUGUUCAUUUAAAAAAAAAUGAUUUAUGUCAAGCAAUCUAGAUUAAUUUUAUACAUACUAAUAUGUGAGGUAAUCAUGCAAGUGCGAAAGUAUUAACAUAACAAUCGGCAAUUAAAGAAAGUAUUGAAUAAAUUGCAUGGGACAACAAAGAUCAAGUUCAAUAUAUCAAAAGUGCGCAACCAAUGGCGAUUGUCUUCAAGGACCAUUGAAAUCCUAAGGUAGGGCCCCUAAGGGCUUGUUCAAUUUUUGAACACAAUUUUAAAGUCAAGAGGAUUUCUUCUUUUUUUUAAAAAAACUAAAGAUCAAUUUUUGAAAGUUUUCAAUGAAUUACAUUUUUUAUUUUAAAUUUUAAAUUUUAAAUUUUUGUGGAAUUUUCUAAAUUUUUAUGAAUUUUUUAUUUUUUAGUAUUUCUUAUGUUUUCUGUGAUUUUUUUAAGUAAUAUCUUGUAUGAAGUUUACUAUUAUAAUAAAUAAAUAAAUAAAAUAAAUAAAGGAGAGAAAGAAAAUCGGACCGGGUCAAGAGACCCGCCCCAACUCAACCGACCUAGACCCUAUCGGUCCAGGUUGGACUAAAAAAGGGGCUAUGCUAAGGCCCACUUUGAAUUAAUCUCAAUUGACUCACGAAAAUUUUAAAGCAGCCCACUCAAUUUCCAGCCCGACUCCAUUUUCUCUUCUCAGCCCAAGUGAGGGUUUCUUUCCAGUAACAACACCUACCCAGACACUUCAACAUCCCAUAUCAAUUUCAGAAUAAAAUCAAUUUAACAACAGCACCACUAUCAUCUCAUCUUUUAAACCAAGAAUAACAUAAUUCAUCAUCAAGCACCUUUUGAACAUCGAAGCUCCACGACGAGUACCGUUACCAUCGCCGUUUGCCGGACGGUGGAAGUAGCUGGCUGGGUGAUACGAAAGGCGGAGACGUUCGUGAGCGUUCGAGAGCGUCCGAGAGCGUGGGUCUCAAAAGAAAAGAGUGACCGUCGAGUCCCCCUCAUGCUCAUUGAGGCUCCGCUCGAAUGACGAAGCUGCAGCAUGUGGACGAAGGCAUUGAUGCGGAUGAGUGAUCAUUCAUGGCCGACGACCACCAUCUAGCUCUAGCCAGGUCUAGCCCAAACCCUAAGCACAAUAAUUAGGGUUUUCUAUUUCACCAAUUAGGGUUCUAAAUUGGGGGAAAACAUGUUUCGCGAAAGUCGUUUAUGCUAUGUAUGCGGAGUUAGAGCAUUGACAAGCCAAGUCAGAUUUAAAAAAUGAUAAAAUAUUACUAUUUUGAAUUUUCAACUAUUCAAAUUGAAGUUAACACUUGAAGUGAUCUAUGUAAAAGUUUUUGCAUCAAAAUUAGCACUAUACAAAAGUUACGACACUUAUAAUAUUAUUUUCCUCAAGCCUCACUACUGGAAGUCCAAUUUCGAGACCUUCAAAGUAUGCCAACAUCAUCUUAGAACAUAAAUCCGUUUGGUAAUGCAAUUUGAUUUUUUUAUUUUUGGAACAGAUUUUUAUUGUAAAAAUAUAUUUGAAAAAAAAAUCAUGAAUUAAAAUUUUUAACUUUUUAGUUUCUGAAAUAAAAAUAGAAAUUAUUUCUUCUUUUCUCCAAUUUCGUCUUUUUUUUAAGGUCGGUCUUCCUUUCUCCAAUUUGGACAUCCUUUUUCGUUCACCAUACGGGCUUUUCUAUUUGGCCGUUCCUUAUCCUUCUCCUCAACGCUUCAACCAAAAACCCUAGCGCCGUCGCCGUCCUCUCGCCGGUCAGAUCGUCGCUCAUCUCGCCGUCGCCGUCGCCGUCGCCGUCGCCGUCCUCAGACCGUCCAAUUUGCUCCGGUCGUCCCGUCGGAUUCCGCUCUCGAUUCCGCAACUCCGGUCGCCGUCGCCCAUCUCCGUCGUUAUUCAAUCCCUCGCGUACGUGUUCGUUCGCGGCCUUCUCUGGAACUUCCCCCCGCGAUUUCUCACGAGGUUCGAUCGAUCCUUCCCUUCUCGCCUCUCUUUAUCAUGUUCCGGCUUUCGUUUCGCAGAUUCGAUUUCGAUUUCCCUGUUGCUUGCUGGAGAGGGAUGGGGGAUUUUAUCUUCUCGGUGUUUUGUCUUACAUUUGUCACACUUCCGGAAUAGUUGCUGGUGGAUUUCGCCUCUUUCUUGGUUGUUCUGCGCUUGUGCUCGGUUCUGUUCCCAUGCCGAUGCCCUUUUUCUUAUAGCUUGACGGAGUCAGUUCAGGGUGAAAAGUUUUACUGCUGCUCAUCCAUAAAUGAGAGAUUAGUGCGGUUUUAUGAAAAAAUUCAGUAUGUUCUUAUUAAAUCAUGGGGGGUUAGCCUUUGAUUUACUACGACAGGGAAAAGAAACGGCAUAUUGAAGGUAGAUUACUAUGGUGAGUGGGUACUUAUGUAUAUUUUUUCGUAGGUCCGGUAGUAGAAUUUGUCUAUCCAAAGUCAAUUUUUUUUGCUUCUGCUAAUGUGCGAAGUGUUUGUUUUCUUGUGAUUGUAUUAUCUUUUCCUGUGAUGAAAUUUUCUCGGUGUACUCUCGUACUGCAUAUGGAACUUUAAUUGCAUAUUGAUGGUAAUGCAUUUUCAGCAAUGUAGUCGAGCGCGGAUUUACCGGCUAACUUGAUUAUAUUUCUUUAUAUCUUCUCUGUUUAACAAAAUAUCAGAUAUGACAUGAGGGUUUCCAGUGGCUACUUUUUCAUUUCUUAUAUUUAUUUCUGUCUCCUCUCUUAAAUUUGAGUUUCCCAUAUCAGUUUGCUGUUAUUUCUUGAGGAUUUUAGGCAUUCAUAAUAGGAUGCAAUAGUUGUUUUAAAAAUUCCGAGUAUUGUUUUUGCACCAGAGUAACAGUGACACUUUGUUCUCUUUAUCUCCUCAUAAAUGUAAAAGGUUUGCAGAACACAGGAUAGAACUUUGUUCCUUUGCUGGCAUAGGGUGAUCUGCACAUUGAUUAUAUUUAUACUGAAGAGGCUGCCCCUUUUCCUUUUAUUCUUUUAUGUUGCAUUUUUAUUGUGACAUGCUUGACAAGAAAUGCUGGGUGUGAACCUUUUUUUGAUUGAUCAGUUUGAUUUGACUGGAGAUUGUUGGUAUGGUUCAUUACAUAGGUGAUUGGGACGUGUCGUGUGUCAUGAAGUCGGUUGGUUAUAGCUCAUGUCAUCUAGGAUCAUGGCACGGGCAGUGCCUUGUGAAUUCUCACUAUUGUAAGCAAAGCAAGCCAUCGAUACUAGUCUAUUUGGAGCUGGAAGGGUUUAAUCAUGAUAGGAGUAGUCGCAGGAUGAUGUUGUCAUUUUAGAAUGCUUCCUGAUGUGGCCUUUUCGGGUGCCCGUUUUAGGUGGGUGGGGAGGGGCAAACUCAUGACUGAGUUGAGCUGCUUAGGGGCUGUUUGGGCUCUACUCGUUAAUCAAUCAUCAAAACUCGAGCUCAGAGUACCCAAUGGCUCGCGAGCUUGAUUAUCUUGCACAUGAUGGUUUGAAAUGUUCCGAAGGAAGUAUGAUAUUAUCAUUAUGACCGCACUUGUAUGUUUGUCUGCUUCAGAUGCAAAAAGAAUCAGCUGAGAUAUAAAGUUUUCCUCCUUGGGUAUGAACUUUGAUGCCCUAGUUAACAUGAGAUAAUAAUUGCUCUUUUUUGUUCUGUAAUUUCUAAAGGGAGAGCCUGUUGAAGUAUUUUUUAAAUCGUUUAAUGUGAAGUUUUAGACUAAUUUUCACCUUUUUUUCUUGGUUAUCUUGCGGAAGAUGGUUCACCAUUCCUGGAUUUCAUAGUCUGAGUCUGGAUUUCAAACUUUAAAUUGAUAUUUUCUAGUCAUUUUGGUGGAUCUCAGAACUGGUUUUCUAUGUUCUGCUGCUUCUUCUACUGAAAUCUUAAUACAUGAUCAUUGGACUGUUUCUCUCUUUUUUGGGGUUGAUGGCAUUAGUUCAGUUACAUUUAUUUUAUUGGGCCGUUUGAAUUUUCUGGUGCUUCUAUUGGGAGCUCGAGUAUAUAGUUGAUUCAGUUCUGAUUGAUUUUUGCAUGCUGAGUAUCUGAAUUGACAGUUUAAGCUUAAAUCUAAAUUGGUUCAACUCAGCUCACUUACAUCCUAUUCCCAUGGGGAUUCACUUACUGUAAUUCCCUCAAGACUAAUUCUUUUUAUACCAAUAUAUGUUGUUACAUGCAUGUUUGUGUCUCAGCCUGAUUCCUGGAUAUAACGAUGUACGGGAUCUGAUAUAUGCAAGAAUUUUAUGUUUGUUUUGUACACAUGUCUAAGCCAAAUUUAAGAUGAGGUAAUUAUGAUCAUGACGUGCAGAUGGCAGGGCCAUCUGCAUACAGGAGCCUUGCUCCCAAGACAAAGAACCUGGUUGUCGCGGGUGGUCUGACAGCAUUUGUGUUUGGAGUGUAUUUCUACACAAUGAGAGCUGUUGGCGGUUCAGAUGAGCUCCAGACGGCAAUCGAUAAGUUUGAAGAGCAAAAGAGCAAGCAAGGAGCUUAGGCAGAGAAGUGGUCCGACGCUCGAGACCGGACGUGACUUCGACGGUGGCCUAACUAUAGUUUUGGAUUUCCUGGACUCCACACGCAGCAUGCGCACUUUUCUGUUUUUGUUAAUAUGUGCACACAUCGUUUGUCAAGUGCUGUGACAGUGCAUCAUCGAUGCUAAAUAACGCAUGCUCGUGUUAUGAGAUGAUCUUGUGGUCAAUUUUGUCCGUGUCGGCCCUAAUAUAUAAAGAUACAUGCCGAUAUUCAUCAGAAUAUGAAAUCUUAGCUCAAAUUAUCAUGUGACAGGAUGGACCAGCCCAGGGCGGCUGUUGAUUCUAGGAUGGCGGCACGAAAUCCUGGCAUUAGACUGCAUUGGUUUCGUAUGAUGGACCAGUCCUAGGCUUGAAACAUUAAUUUAAUGUGUGGGACAGGACCGAGGGUUUAUAUUUUAUGUAAAGUGAAAAGCAAAGGUAACCAAAUUCGGAAAGGGGCAUAUUAGCACACGAAACCAAGAUCCCCCCCCCUUGCCGUUUUUAGCAAGUUUAUCCGAUAGCAUGUCUGGUGCUUAUCCUAAUCAACACGGAUAUGGUGUACACUUUCGAUGCGAAGUUGGUAAAAUCAUCCUGAAUUUCAUGGCUGAAUAUUUAAUUCAGGCGACCGAUUUGUGUUCCAAAAACGGAAGCCGACACCACCACGACCGACGGAAAUCUCUAAUCUACGUGACCUGUCGACGCAAUGUGAAGGCAGAAGAAACCGGAAUCUCUCCAUUGUCUAUAUAUUGGUAAAUGCGACGUGGACAAAACACAAGAGAAAAGUCAAAAACGACACGACAAGAAGCCAACGAGCGGAGCACAGAUUCGCACGCAAAAAGUUCGACACGCAGAAGAGAUCGAAGAAGAAGAAGAAGAAGAAGAAAGGAAGGGAGGAGAAGAGGCGGGCGCCGGAAAAUGGGGCACCCGCAGCAGCACGGCGCGCUGCUCCCGAAGCGCAUCAUCCUCCUCCGCCACGGCGAGUCGGAGGGGAACCUCUCGCCGUCGGCGUACGCCACCACCCCGGACCACAAGAUCCCCCUCACCCCGGUCGGGGCCGCGCAGGCCCGGGCCGCCGGAGACCGGCUCCGGGCCCUGGUCGCCGGCGGCGGGGGGGAGUGGCGGGUCUACUUCUACGCG
rnacentral:lncRNA from 1 species